GCAAAAGUUGUGUGACAAAAUUUGCAUCGUAGUAACCAGCAUGUUAAAGAUGCCAUAGUGUCAAUAGCAGGAUCAAAUCAGGUCAAACACUCGCUCAUAUUGUACUAGCUGCUUUUGUGCCUCUAUUAUUUGUUCAGCUGUGAUCGGAUAUCAGCUUGUGGUGGAAUAUGGCCGCUGAUAUUCUACUAGUAUAUAAGAAGCAUGCAGAUGUACUUUUUAAAAUCACAUCUUCCAAAAGAGUCAUUUAAAUGCGAAGAGCUUUCUAGCAAUCAUGUUACGUCCGCUAAUUAUUGUCGUUGCGGUGCUGUUUUUGCAGCUUUUUAUCGUUGCAGCACAAACUUCUAGACUCACCACUCGAACUCCAACCUGCAAGGUAAACGAAGUGUAUUACGCAUGCAGGGCAUGUCCGAAUCCGGCUUGUAAAAGGGUAUCAGAAUGUUGGAUAACGAUUUGUAAAAGCGGAUGUUUCUGCCGGGCUGGAUAUGCUCGAAAGGGUGAUGUUUGUGUUCCUGCCCAAUUCGAACUAACUUGCACAAAUUGGAAUAGAUCAAUCUGUGCUAAAUAUGGUUUUUUGGCAAUUUGUUAAUUUUUUAAAAAAUAAAUAUAAAAAAAUAC